rnacentral:rRNA from 1 species
GAACUGAAGAGUUUGAUCAUGGCUCAGAUUGAACGCUGGCGGCAGGCCUAACACAUGCAAGUCGAGCGGUAGAGAGGUGCUUGCACCUCUUGAGAGCGGCGGACGGGUGAGUAAUGCCUAGGAAUCUGCCUGGUAGUGGGGGAUAACGCUCGGAAACGGACGCUAAUACCGCAUACGUCCUACGGGAGAAAGCAGGGGACCUUCGGGCCUUGCGCUAUCAGAUGAGCCUAGGUCGGAUUAGCUAGUUGGUG